AACAACUAAUUAUUUCCCGUUUUAAACUAUAAACAUUCAAUUACCCCAUUUAUACCUUCUAUCCAGCCUGAAAAGCCCUAUAAUAUUUAAACAAAACAGAUUUACCCUCGUACCUUUAGCAUCAUGGUUUAACCAGUACCUCCCCAUAUUACUAUCCCCGAAUAAUUACCGAGCUGAUAAUAUCCUAGCUAGAAACCCCCAGUAUAAUGUUACAUUAUUAAACCGAGAGACACUAUCAGAGGCUACAUACCCCCGCGGAAUUAGAUAGCUGGUUGCACAACAAAUUGAUUUAAGUCAAGACAACAGAAUGUUAGUAAAACCCUAAAGGCCAAGCUUUAGGGUUUCCCCCUAUUAAUUUAUACCCCACAGGCUAUAAUAGGCUUAAAACCCGCCACUAUAACCCGUUAUAGAGUUAGCUUUCUAUCCCUUUUAAUAAUAUAAUUUUGUGUAUACAAGUGCAAUAUUCAACUCCACAGAAUAAUUUAAAAUGUUAUAACUAGUAUACCCUCUUCGUAAUAAAUAAUAUAAAUUUAAAUAUAAAAUUACCCCCUCCCAUUUUUAUCUCUAAACAAGGAACUCGGCAAAUCUUUAUUCAGCCUGUUUAACAAAAACACCGCCUACUGAAUAUAUAGUAGGUCCAUCCUGCCCAGUGAAUAUUUCAACGGCCGCGGUAUUUUGACCGUGCAAAGGUAGCAUAAUCAAUUGCCUUCUAAUUAAAGGCUAGUAUGAAUGGACACACAAGAAUAAAUCUGUCUCGUUUAGAAUAAUUAUAAUCUGUACGGCAGGUGAAAAUUCCUACGUAACAAUAAAAGACAAGAAGACCCUAUAGAGCUUUAUCUAUAACAGUUAACCACUAAAAUAUAGAAUUAGUUGGGACAACUAAAAAACAUUUAUACCUUUUUACCAGAUUUACACGCACCCUUUAAUGUAAAAGAAUAUAGCUACCUUAGGGAUAACAGGCUAAUUUUGCUAGAGAGAUCACAUUGACAGCAUAGAUUGGCACCUCGAUGUUGGCUUAGUGUAACUAUUGAGCGCAGCCGCUCAAUUAAGUUGGUUUGUUCAACCAUUAAAUCACUACAUGAGCUGAGUUCAGACCGGCGUAAGCCAGGUUAGAUUCUAUCUUUAUUAAGAAAAUUAAUUCACAGUACGAAAGGACCUGAUAUUACAAAUAAAAUUUAAAUAACAAUACAAUAUUAAUGGGUU
rnacentral:rRNA from 1 species